rnacentral:lncRNA from 1 species
CCUGCCCAGAGCCGGGACAGAACCCAGGUGUCCUGGCUCCCUUCCUCCCAACUGGUUUUGUCCUUCCCAGGCCGGACCUGCCCAUGGCCCGUGCAGAUUGACAACGCCAAGACGCGUUUGGCCCAGGCUUCCCGCGGCUUCGGGGCCCUCAUGGAGGUGACCUGCCAGCCAGGCUUCAGGCUGUCCAAAGGGGAGGGAGUGGCACUGAGCCGAUGCCAAGGGGACAGGAAGUGGAGUCUGCUGGCACCCUGCGAACGGGAUCUGACCCCCGCGUCCUUCUGCAGCCCCCCGCCAGAGACCAACAAUGGCUUUCACUUCGGCGCCUCCUACAGGGCAGGCGGGGAGGUGCGCUAUAAGUGCAAGCGUGGGUACCGGCUGGAGGGCCCAGAGACUAUCCGAUGCCAGGAGAACCAGGAGUGGUCUGGGCCCGCCCCAACCUGCCACCGUGAGUAGGGGGGAGGGGGGGUCCCGGUUUCUCCCUGUCCCCGUCU